GCAAGCCAUGAGGACGCAAGCCAGUGAGCAGUGUUCCUGCAUGGCUCCUGACUUUGCUCCUGCUUGAAACCCUGCCUGUACUUCCUUCAAUGAUGGAUUGUGGGACAUCCCCUGCUUUUGAGACAAGAUCUCAUAUGUGCCCACACCAGCUUUGAACUCCUGGACUCAAGUGAUCCUCCCACCUCAGCCUGUCAGCCUUCCGAGUAUCCAAGAACACAGAGACUACAGGUGCAUGCCCAACAGUCCCAAGCUCCUAAUUAGGGGGCUAGCCUGGGUCCUGGCUAUACAGGCUUGUCAGAUCAGAGGAGUCUAGGGCCUGGGCUGGGAUUUGAAAUGGAGCCUACAUGACUGCAAAGCUCACUGCAGUCUGAUUUCUGUACACCCACUGCUUCCCUGGGGACAGCAACAGCAAAUCUAUUGGGUUGUUGAGAGGGUAAACAAACCGUGAUGAAUGAACCCUCUCUCCUAAUA